rnacentral:rRNA from 1 species
UUACCAGGUCCGGACACAGUGAGGAUUGACAGAUUGAGAGCUCUUUUCUUGAUUCUGUGGGUGGUGGUGCAUGGCUGUUUUUAGUUGGUGGAGUAAUUUGUCUGGUUAAUUCCGUUAACGAACGAGACCUUAACCUAUUAAAUAGUCGUGGGAACCCAGGUCUUUCAUCCCUCUUCAGCAAUGGGGGGGAAACCAUUAUCAUAUUGGUACCCUCUGGGUAUCGUGUGGUAGUGGUGAGGAUCUGAUAGUGUUCUUAUAGGCUUCUUAGAGGGACUCUUUGCAUCUUUAGCAAAUGGAAGUUUGAGGCAAAAACAGGUCUGUGAUGCCCUUGAUGUUCUGGGCUGCACGCGCGUUACAAUGACGCAUGCAACGAGUUAUUAAAAUUCCUGGCCCGAUGGGGUGGUAAUCUUUUAAAGUGCGUCGUGAUGGGGAUAGAGCAUUGCAAUUAUUGUUCUUGAACGAGGAAUUCCUAGUAAUUGCAGGUCAUCAACCUGCGAUGAUUACGU